UCCGUAGGGUGCAAGCGUUGUCCGGAAUCAUUGGGCGUAAAGCGCGCGUAGGCGGCUUUUCAAGUCGAUUGUGAAAUCCCCGGGCUCAACCUGGGAACUGCAGUCGAGACUGUCUAGCUAGAGUAUGGGAGAGGGAAGUGGAAUUUCAGGUGUAGCGGUGAAAUGCGUAGAUAUCUGAAGGAACAUCAAUGGCGAAGGCAGAUCUCUGGGCCGUAACUGACGCUGAGGAGCGAAAGCAUGGGGAGCGAACAGG
rnacentral:rRNA from 1 species